UCAUCGUCCUAGGAUUGCUCACCACCCUCAAGCUUAAAAACCCAGCCAAGACCUUUUGACGGGCAUCUUUAAGGGCUGAGUUGAACACGGCUGAAGGCUGGGGCUGUCUUUUCCCCUGGCGUCUUCCUCUGAAGCUGGCAGAAUGAUGGAGACAUGGUACUGAUUGUAUGAAAGCAACCCCUUCAGCCGAGUCCUGACUUCCCGGGAAGACCUGUGGAAGAAACAGGCCUCUUGAUGCAGAUGGCCACGAGUGGAUAGCCACCAGCAGGAGGAUGGAUUCAUGAAAGCUCAACUGCUAGUCCAUGGACCAUAAUGACUCCCAGGAUACCCAAUGCUAAGGAACGCUUCGCUCAUCUCCAAGCUUUGUGUCUGCCCUUGCUCCAAAGGAUGGGUUCUCCGAGUGCAAGUUUUGGCCAAGUUCCCACACAUGCUCUGUGUAGAAAAGAAGCUGGUGCACCUCUCAUGCGUGCCACGUAGGUUUCUGCCUUUAGUGGAAAAUUCUUGUGCCUUUUUUCCAUUCUGACAAGGAGGAAGACCUUUGUUCCACUUCCCUGCUGCCCUCAGCGUGUAGUCACAUUCUCUGUUGUU